rnacentral:rRNA from 1 species
GGCGCACGGGUGCGUAACGCGUAUGCAAUCUACCUUUUACAGAGGGAUAGCCCAGAGAAAUUUGGAUUAAUACCUCAUAGUAUAGUGAGUUGGCAUCAACACACUAUUAAAGUCACAACGGUAAAAGAUGAGCAUGCGUCCCAUUAGCUAGUUGGUAAGGUAACGGCUUACCAAGGCAACGAUGGGUAGGGGUCCUGAGAGGGAGAUCCCCCCACACUGGUACUGAGACACGGACCAGACUCCUACGGGAGGCAGCAGUGAGGAAUAUUGGUCAAUGGGCGCAAGCCUGAACCAGCCAUGCCGCGUGCAGGAUGACGGUCCUAUGGAUUGUAAACUGCUUUUGCACAGGAAGAAACACUCGGUCGUGACCGAGCUUGACGGUACUGUGAGAAUAAGGAUCGGCUAACUCCGUGCCAGCAGCCGCGGUAAUACGGAGGAUCCAAGCGUUAUCCGGAAUCAUUGGGUUUAAAGGGUCCGUAGGCGGCCAGAUAAGUCAGUGGUGAAAGCCCAUCGCUCAACGAUGGAACGGCCAUUGAUACUGUUUGGCUUGAAUUAUUUGGAAGUAACUAGAAUAUGUAGUGUAGCGGUGAAAUGCUUAGAGAUUACAUGGAAUACCAAUUGCGAAGGCAGGUUACUACAAAUUGAUUGACGCUGAUGGACGAAAGCGUGGGUAGCGAACAGGAUUAGAUACCCUGGUAGUCCACGCCGUAAACGAUGGAUACUAGCUGUUGGGAGCAAUCUCAGUGGCUAAGCGAAAGUGAUAAGUAUCCCACCUGGGGAGUACGUUCGCAAGAAUGAAACUCAAAGGAAUUGACGGGGGCCCGCACAAGCGGUGGAGCAUGUGGUUUAAUUCGAUGAUACGCGAGGAACCUUACCAAGGCUUAAAUGUAGAUUGACCGGUUUGGAAACAGACUUUUCGCAAGACAAUUUACAAGGUGCUGCAUGGUUGUCGUCAGCUCGUGCCSUGAGGUGUCAGGUUAAGUCCUAUAACGAGCGCAACCCCUGUUGUUAGUUGCCAGCGAGUCAUGUCGGGAACUCUAGCAAGACUGCCAGUGUAAACUGUGAGGAAGGUGGGGAUGACGUCAAAUCAUCACGGCCCUUACGCCUUGGGCUACACACGUGCUACAAUGGCCGGUACAGAGAGCAGCCACUACGCAAGUAGGAGCGAAUCUAUAAAACCGGUCUCAGUUCGGAUCGGAGUCUGCAA